GUGGUUAUUUAACAGCUUUGAGAUGCCAUUCACCUGUGGCCCAUUUCAAGUUUCCCAUGAUUCUUAGGAAGACCCUGGCCUCCAUCUUGAAAACGGAAAAUAAAAACAGCAGACCUAUGAAGGUCAAAGGGGAAGUUAAGAAAAGCUGUAUCGAUUGUUGAGAUCUGGCGACUUGCUUAAAUUUCAUCAGCCUCACUUCUAUGGACUCUCAGGCCUCACGUGUACCAGCUCUCUGCUCUCCUUUGCCUUGGGACGUUCCAUCCCUGGAAGUUUCCCUGCCCACAUCUUUGUAGAGAGUCCAUUCUCCAAGCUUCAGUGUGUCAUCUGUUAGGACUAUGACCCACCUGGUACAUUACCUCAGGGCAUUCAUUUCAGGCUCCUUCUAAGUGGUCAAGUUUUGAAAUGGAAUUGCCAGCAUGCUAAAGAUACACCAUUCAGUUCUCAUCCCACUUUGCAUAGCUUGGAAUCUAUGAUCCUGCAAAUAUCUUUGAGCUGCAUUUUGAGAACUUUGGGAAUAUUGACUCAUGGAAAUGGAGCCUGUGUAAGACAUAAACGAUACUUUUGAACAUCUGCCAGCAAGUAUGUCAACUACCUGUCCAAGAAAAUAAAGAACUAUUGUUGCUCUGACUC